rnacentral:lncRNA from 1 species
CGUCAUAGUUCAGAAGCGAUGAUGACCGGGAGCGUGUGCUGUGCGCGCCUGCCUUGAGGCCAGCCUCAGAGAAGGGUGCCCCAGAUGUAGGCAAAGCGUCCUCCAUGUGUUCGUGGAGGACCGUCCCAAGCCCUUCUCCAUUCUCCCAACCUCUUGGGCCUGGGAUGUCCUCCACCUUUUCAAUCUGAUUUGCUCUUUGCCAUGCAGACCUGUGGAUGAAGAGCCAGAGUCCUCCAAGAAAAAGAAAAUGGAGUCCUAGAGAAGGAAGUAGAUUGACCUGUCCCGGCAUGUUGAAAAACUUGAUAGACACAUUGCUCUUCAGUUUGCCCUCCCACUCACAGCAUGCCAAGGUACUGUCUUCCCAGAAUUUUCACACUCUGUAAAUAAUUUUAAAGAUUAAGUAAAUGAACAAUGAUAACUUGUUUUGCUUUGUUCAUCAGUAAGGUUGAGCACUUCUUCAUAUGUUUA